UACAGAGGGGGCAAGCGUUAUUCGGAAUUACUGGGCGUAAAGGGCUCGUAGGCGGCCAACUAAGUCGGACGUGAAAUCCCUCGGCUUAACCGGGGAACUGCGUCCGAUACUGGAUGGCUUGAGUUUGGGAGAGGGAUGCGGAAUUCCAGGUGUAGCGGUGAAAUGCGUAGAUAUCUGGAGGAACACCGGUGGCGAAGGCGGCAUCCUGGACCAACACUGACGCUGAUGAGCGAAAGCCAGGGGAGCAAACGGG
rnacentral:rRNA from 1 species